AAGAUGCAGCAUGCAACAAGAAGGUCAGUAUCAUGAUUUUUAAUUCUAGUUUUUUUAAGAGUCUUAACUGUCUGAGUUGCUCAUGGCUUCAUGACUAAGAUGGCAAUGAGUUGGUUGUUGGAUCCAUAUGAAAAAAAAUCAUGUUCCAAUAAGUGAUUUUCAUAUUAGUCUAUUUGAGCUUGGAUUUCUUUGGUAACCUUAGAUCCAUCUUUUGCUGUGUUGAUUGAGUUGUUCAAAAUGGUUGAAUAAACACUUCAUUUCAUUACUAAUCUAACCAUUCAUGUUAGUUGUGCCAUUU
rnacentral:misc_RNA from 1 species